AUAAAAGAGAAUUCUAGACCCGCUUACGUCUCCUUCGUUCGUUAUUCUCUUACGAUUAACCUGCUCUGAUACCACUUGUCACGGCUUUUUUGAUUCUGACAAGACUCCCUGCGGCACUUGACGGUUUACUCAUGAUUCUUGCACGAUCUCGUAAACUCAAGUAAGCCUCUCACUGGGUUCUAUCCGCCUGGACCGCAGUUUGGACUCAUUUCCGUUUGUAGGUGUUAG
rnacentral:misc_RNA from 1 species